AGAGGUGUGGUCCACCACUGUGGGUGGUCCCUGGGCUCUCCAAUUGGGUCCCAUCGGCUGCUCAUGUUCUAUCUUCUGAUGGAUCACAGGACGAGCUCAUAGCAAAAGAGCCUCCUCCUCCUCAGGAUCAGGCCACGCAGGAGUGUCCGGCCUGGAGGACGGGCUCAGGGCUGCACCAAAAGCUGUUGCCAACUCCUGCUCCAGGAUGUUUAUCUCAGCCUUGGUCGAAUCCAAAGAUGGGAAGCCUGUGGAUACUGAAGGCCAACUGUACUACAAUCAAAAGAAAAAGACACUGGAAAGCUGCUUUGCCUACCUCUAGUGUCCUAAGG
rnacentral:lncRNA from 1 species